AGAGUUUGAUCAUGGCUCAGGACGAACGCUGGCGGCGUGCUUAACACAUGCAAGUGGGGCGACGAACCAGGCUUCGGCCUGGGGCAAAGCCGCGAACGGGUGAGUAACACGUGGGUAACCUGCCCCGAAGACCGGGACAACCCGAGGAAACUCGGGCUAAUACCGGAUGUGGUCACUGCUCAUAAGUGCAGUGAGCAAAGGAAGCUUCGGCCUCCGCUUCGGGAGGGGCCCGCGGCCCAUUAGCUUGUUGGUGAGGUAACGGCUCACCAAGGCUUCGAUGGGUAGCUGGUCUGAGAGGACGAUCAGCCACACUGGGACUGAGACACGGCCCAGACUCCUACGGGAGGCAGCAGUGGGGAAUCUUGCGCAAUGCGCGAAAGCGUGACGCAGCAACGCCGCGUGGGGGAAGAAGGCCUUCGGGUCGUAAACCCCUUUCAGGAGGGACGAAGCCUCGGGAGUGAAUAGCUCUCCGGGGUGACGGUACCUCAAUAAGAAGCCCCGGCUAACUACGUGCCAGCAGCCGCGGUAAUAC
rnacentral:rRNA from 1 species